CCCUUAGAUGUCCUGGGCCGCACGCGCGUUACACUGAUGCAUUCAACGAGCUUAUAACCUUGGCCGAGAGGCCUGGGCAAUCUUGUUAACGUGCAUCGUGAUAGGGAUAGAUUAUUGAAAUUAUUAAUCUUGAACGAGGAAUUCCUAGUAAACGCAGAUCAUCAAUCUGCAUUGAUUACGUCCCUGCCCUUUGUACACACCGCCCGUCGCUCCUACCGAUCGAAGAGUUAGGUGAAUUGUUUUGAUCGAUAAGAUUUGACUAUGGUCAACUCUCGUUGUGAAAUUCUGUGAAUCUGACUGUUUAGAGGAAGGAAAAGUCGUAACA
rnacentral:rRNA from 1 species